rnacentral:rRNA from 1 species
AUGGUCGAAGGCUCGGAUACGGACAUCGCUAGCCUUAAAUUCCUCCUCCUCUGCUUCCAACAAAUGUCUGGCCUUAAGAUCAACUUCGACAAGAGUGAUGUGAUGGUGAUGGGCUACUCUCCGGCUGAGGCACUUGACAUUGCCAACCGCCUCAACUGCCGCCUGGGCUCCUUCCCAACGACCUACCUGGGAAUGCCCAUUAGUGACUCUCGGCUUACUGUGGCGGACCUUCGUCCUGCGGUGACUAAGUUGCAAACGCGCAUUGAGCCUUGGCAAGGUCGGUGGCUCUCGAAGGCAGCCCGGAUGAUUCUCAUCAACUCCUCGCUCUCUAGUCUCCUCCUAUACCUUAUGAGCUUCUACAUCCUCCACGAGACCCCACAUCACGAGGCCAGAAUCCAGUCGCGCUUCUAUUGGGCUGGGGACAUGUAACGCCCCAAGUAUCAUAUGGUUAGCUGGCCCGACAUCUGCAAGCCCCGGAAGCAGGGAGGCCUUGGCAUCAUGUGCUCUAAGCGCAUGAACAUUGCCCUCCUCUCCCGCUGGCUCUGGCACAUUUCACAAGGGUAGGGAGGUCUGUGGUUAGAUAUCAUCCGGAAUAAAUACCUGCGUGGCUAG